CUUGCUCUCGGGUGACGAGUGGCGGACGGGUGAGUAAUGUCUGGGAAACUGCCCGAUGGAGGGGGAUAACUACUGGAAACGGUAGCUAAUACCGCAUAACGUCGCAAGACCAAAGAGGGGGACCUUCGGGCCUCUUGCCAUCGGAUGUGCCCAGAUGGGAUUAGCUUGUAGGUGAGGUAACGGCUCACCUAGGCGACGAUCCCUAGCUGGUCUGAGAGGAUGACCAGCCACACUGGAACUGAGACACGGUCCAGACUCCUACGGGAGGCAGCAGUGGGGAAUAUUGCACAAUGGGCGCAAGCCUGAUGCAGCCAUGCCGCGUGUAUGAAGAAGGCCUUCGGGUUGUAAAGUACUUUCAGCGGGGAGGA
rnacentral:rRNA from 1 species